GAUGAACGCUGGCGGCGUGCCUAAUACAUGCAAGUCGAGCGAACGUACGAGAAGCUUGCUUCUCUGAUGUUAGCGGCUGACGUGUGAGUAACACGUGUAUAACCUACCUAUAAUACUUGUAUAACUUCGGGAAACCGGAGCUAAUACCGGAUAAUAUUUUUAACCUCAUUGUUCAAAAGUUAAAGACGGUCUUUCUGUCCCUUCUCGAUGUUUCCCCGCUGCAUUAGCUAGUUGGUAAGGUAACGGCUUACCAAGGCAACGAUGCAUAUCCGACCUGAGAGGGUGAUCGGCCACACUGGAACUGAGACACGGUCCAGACUCCUACGGGAGGCAGCAGUAGGGAAUCUUCCGCAAUGGGCGAAAGCAUGACGGAGCAACGCCGCGUGAGUGAUGAAGGUCUUCGGAUCGUAAAACUCUGUUAUUAGGGAAGAACAUAUGUGUAAGUAACUGUGCACAUCUUGACGGUACCUAAUCAGAAAGCCACGGCUAACUACGUG
rnacentral:rRNA from 1 species